UUCUCAGUUUCUCAGACAUCACUGCAGCGGUGCAGGGCUCUCCCCAGCAGCAAGGUCCCUUCACAGCAGCCAGCUGUGCACCCAGCCUCCUGACAGUUUGGGGCUCAAUGGCAGACACCAUCCAGAGUCUGGUGGUAACCACAGAUGUUGUGCGGUGUGUGGGAAUCGAGAUAAUCAACCAGACAGAGAAUCUGACUCUCCACUCCCCAAGAUAUUUUUGCUUCAGUGGCCACGACGUCAUUCCUCCUGUUCUUAAGAUCACACCAGGCUCCACGGCAAACUGUGUGUUUGUGAAGACCGAAUACAGCCUUCGUGGAAGUGUGGGGAUCCUGGCAUAUGAGGUGGAUGAUUUCACAAUAGCCAUCUUAUUCUCCAACCCCUUUGACAAACUUCUUUACAAGAGAGCUGGGUGUAACUGUCACUACAAAUAAGUAUACCAGUGAAAACAUUGAGACACUUUACUUCUCAGUAAUGAAAAACUCCUCCAGCAACAGCACAUCCCUCCAGAAAGUUAAGCUUAGUGAGAGAUGUGAACCUAUCAAGGUGACUGCAGGGAAUAUUUGUGUUCAGCCUGCCAUGUCAGAUGAUAAUAAGUCCAUCAUAAGAGUGCUCGUUGAGGAGAACAAUACUGCACGCCCUUCCGAGUAGAAACCAUAGACUGUCAGGCCCCGACCCGGGGUAAAGAAUACUGAUCCCUUCCGCAGCCAGCCUGGAGCAUGACACAACUACCCCUGAACAUCCACCCCAGGAACCACUACCCUGCCACCGCCUGCACACCAACUGACUGCCCAAGCCAGCUAUGGACUGAACUGAGAGGGGAGAGGAAGCUGCUGUGAUAAGGAUGCACUGCUCCAAAUACCUGGAAGUUGUGUCGCCAUCUCAGUAAUCCCUCUAUGGCAGUCAUCUAGUGUCCCUUGCUUCUUAAGCAUCUGUUGUACAUCAGCCAUCAGUCAUCUCUUCUUGCAGAUAUUAUUGCUUCAGUGGCCACAGCCUCAUUCCUCCUGUUCUUAAGAUCACACCAGGCUCCACGGCAAACUGUGUGUUUAUGAAGACCAGAUACAGCCUUCGUGGAAGUGUGGGGAUCCUGGCAUAUGAGGCAGGUGAUUGUACAUUGGCUCUCGUGUUCUCCAACCCCUUUGACUACGUUCUUUACAACAUGCAGUUUGCUCUCGGUAUCACUGAUGAUAAGUAUUUCUAUGACAGCAUGGAGGCAGCUUACUCCAGAAUAAUAAGCAAAUCUUCCAGGAACAGCACAUCCCUCCAGAAAGUCAGUCUUAGCCAGUGCCAUGAAACUGUGAAGGUGACUGCGAGGAAUAUUUCUGCUCAGGCUACCAUGUCAAAUGACUCCAAGGCAAUCCUAAGAGUGCUGAUUGAGACUGAUAAUACUCCACACCCUUUGGAGAUGUGUCAGAACCCAGUAGUUAAAUGCCUAUGGAACAGUGGAAUUCCCCGCCACAGUAAAAUUUCUCGGCACGGUGGAAUUUUCCGCUACAGUGGAAAACCUCGGUGCAGUAAAAAGUUCCCACCAACUUUAUACAAACACGCACACCACCAUUGGCCAGUUCCAAAUUAUUCAUACUUGGCGACUAGCAAUUGGCUCGCUAGCCGUAUAAAAGUUAGAGCAGUUUCCACCCAUGUCGGAGAACUCCGCGUACAUCUCGGAGUGAACUUGGUGGACUGAUCACCCACCAACAACUCCCCAUCACCGACUGUCCCGACGGACCCCAUGCCCUGCAUGCUCGUUAAGUUGUUCACAGACAUCUCAUCUCGUUCUCUAGAGCUAUCAUCUCGUUCACAACUGUAACUAAAGUUAACUUUCUUCCUACGCUGCAUACAUCAACAGUGUAAGUAAAACCAUCUUAGUUUAACCAAUACGCUUCCGUGCCUAAUUCCGCUCCAUCGGUCAAAAGUACCCACCUGCCGUUCUGGGCUCUCGGCCACAGCCCAGCGGCCUGUACCCGGUUGCCACAAGAUGGACCAAUAGACUAUCAGGCCCUGACCCAGGAUAAAGAAUACUGAUCCCUUCCGCAGCCAGUCUGGAGCAUGACACAACUACCCCUGAACAUCCACCCCAGGAACCACUACCCUGCCACCGCCUGCACACCAACUGACUGCCCAAGCCAGCUAUGGACUGAACUGAGAGGGGAGAGGAAGCUGCUGUGAUAAGGAUGAACUGCUCCAAAUACCUGGAAGUUGUGUCGCCAUCUCAGUAAAACCCCUAUGGCAGUCA